GAUGAACGCUGGCGGCGUGCUUAAUACAUGCAAGUCGGACGGAGUGUUAGCAAUGGCACUUAGUGGCGAACGGGUGAGUAACGCGUUGGUGACCUGCCCUAGAUCGUGGGAUAACAGAUCGAAAGGUCUGCUAAUACCGCAUGAAGUUACAGGCGUCAGAGAACUGUAACGAAAGGCGAAAGUCGAUAUAGGAGGGACCUGCGUCCCAUCAGCUAGUUGGUGAGGUAACGGCCCACCAAGGCGAAGACGGGUAGGGGGCCUGAGAGGGUGACCCCCCACACUGGCACUGAAACACGGGCCAGACACCUACGGGUGGCAGCAGUAGGGAAUAUUGCACAAUGGGCGAAAGCCUGAUGCAGCAACGCCGCGUGAACGAUGAAGGCCUUCGGGUCGUAAAGUUCUUUUUGAGGAGACGAGGAAGGACGGUAUCCUCAGAAUAAGGAUCGGCUAACUACGUGCCAGCAGCCGCCGUAAAAC
rnacentral:rRNA from 1 species